rnacentral:rRNA from 1 species
UACGGGGGGAGCAAGCGUUGUUCGGAUUUACUGGGCGUAAAGGGCGCGUAGGCGGCCACGACAAGUCACUUGUGAAAUCUCCGGGCUUAACUCGGAAAGGUCAAGUGAUACUGUCGGGCUAGAGUACAGAAGGGGCAACUGGAAUUCUCGGUGUAGCGGUGAAAUGCGUAGAUAUCAGGAGGAACACCGGUGGCGAAGGCGGUUCUCUGGGCAUUACCUGACGCUGAGGAGCGAAAGUGUGGGGAGCGAACAGG